AGAUACUUAACCAUCAAAAUGUUUUCCAAAUAUAUUGCCAUUCUUUUCAUAUGCUUAAUUCUAACUGAUGGAGUCAUAUCGAUGACCAAAUCAAAGAACAAUUUUCAAAAUAACCGUUGCAAGUAUAAGAGAAAAUCUGCAAACAUGAGGACAUCAAAACUUAUAAAGAAUGGAGGACAUUCAGAAAUAAAUGGCACAAUAUAUCGAUGUAGUGACAGUUCAAUGUUGAAGAAUUUACGAACAGAAAUUGAAUGGUUCAAAUUCGGAGAAACAUCAGUUACCGAUCAUCAAAUAAGAAAAAGAAUUGUGGAGUGGAUUUUUUUUAGUAUUUUUGCUGCUGCUGCUGCUG